UUAAAAAUAUGCAAAAAAGAAGAUAAAGAAAAAAAGAUAGCCUAGGAAGAGAAGAAGACACUUGUGCCAGCCUAUGGCCAGUGCCCCCUUAAUUGGCCCAAGAUGUUAGUUCCUAGGCUACAUUUGAAUAGGUCACAUGACUCUUGUCUUCUACCCUUGGCUGGCCUAGGGGUCCCAUGUUGGCACACAUGUUUGUUGCUUCAGCCUUUUUAUAAAGUUCUUGUUUAUGGAGUCCUUAUAUCCCUGGCUUGUAACCACUAUCAAGGAAUCGACUGUAACUUCCCUGUUUUCUGGAACUAUGAAAGGGCGGGGAAACAAAAAGGUAAGCAAACGUUGCAUCUAAGACAUAAAUUGUCACUUCAGUUUUAUUUCCCUUCCUCUGUGUUUUGCUUUUAAAAAAAAACUACAAGAACUACCUUGACAGUUGACAACCAAAAAUGUUCUCUCAUGAUAUCCAGUGGGUUGGCAAUAAACGGAGAAAGUGGGGGUAUCUUAGCUCAAAACAUGCUUCUUCUGAAGCUGCUUUAGAGUGUGAAAGAAAUCACCACAAAGUUGUGUUCAUUGACACAAAAAUUUCAAAAUGUUGAUUAUCAUUUUGUUAUUAAUUAUUAUUAUCAUUAUUAUUCGCGGCCACACAAGAGCGCUUUCAUGGGUUAUAUUGUGAAGUGGAAGCAUGUGGUUCAUCUCUGCACCCUCCCACUCUACAGCCCUCCUCCUCCCUCGGCCUCCUUCAUUCCCCAGAAAGCGAAACUAGUUCAUAUAAACUAUUAAGACACAGAAAAAAGUAACAUCAUAAGCAAAAUAGAACAGUGUAUUUUUUCCUUCAUCCCUUCAACGUUCUCAUUUGUUUGUUUCUAACUUGGAAAGAAAAAUGAAUAAGAAAUGUGUGAGUGUUUGUGUGUAGGUAUGUUUGUACAGCACCUUUAUACCUAGUGCCUGUGGAGGCCAGAAGAGGUGUCAGAUCCCCUGGAACUGGAGGAAUUAAGCGAGGUGGUGAGUCGACUUGAGGCUGCUGGGAACUGAACCUGGGGCCUCUGCAAAAACAAGUGCUCUUAGCUGCUGAGCCAUCUCUUUAGUCCCCUUGAGUAAACUUUUAAAGGCUAAUCAAUCUAUUAGCCAUAGACAUCUACUUAAUUAACUACUAACAACUUCAAAACCUCGGUUUAUUUGAUUUGAUAUUAUGCAUUCAUUGCCACUAUAAUUUUAAUAGUGGAUAAGUUAUGGUGCCUAUAAAUCACAGCUUGGGAGUUAUUUUCAACUUUGCUUUCAGUAUUUAUUGCUUGUCUGGGCUCAUCUAAUUGAAACUCUUUGGAGCCCAGUACUUUAGAACAGGCAUUACAAGUGGAUGUGUUGAAAACACUCCCUCCGCAACCCCCCCCUUUUUUUAAAUCUUCAAAUGAAGUAUCAGAAAAAUGGACUUAAAACAAAGUGGUUUAAAAAGGUAGUCUAGUUGUCAGCAUGAUUUAUAAUGGUAGCUGUCUAUAUUUUUAUACAAUGGAGUCUUCAUUGCCCUAGAAACAGGUAAAUUAACGUGUGGUUUAAGUCCUAACCACAACUCUCACCAGGCUCAAUUUCCCAGGCUUGUUCCAUUUUGAUUUUUUUUCUUCUUGCCGUUUUGUUUGUAGCUAUGAAACAGCAUUGGCCUUAGUACUUUUGAUGAGAAAAUGGGCUUGCAAGAGUGGGGAAGCAGCCAGUUGGUAGAAUGUUUGACUACCAGUGCCUAUCCCGUAUGAAGCCCUGGGCUCGGUCUCUAGCCCCACAUCAUCUGGGUGGUGGAUAUCUGUAACUGCAGCACUUGGAAGGUAGAGGCAGGAGGAUCAGAAGUUCAAGGUCAACCUUGGCUAUACCACAGGGUUCAGAAACCUGCUCUCAUGUGGUUUUUGAAGCAGCCAAAGGUAGGAUGUUUUCCCCUAAGGGGCUAGCACUGAGAGGAGGGCUGCUUGGUGAAGGAGGCCAUGGAUGAGGAAUGGAAGAAGGCUUCCCGGAGGAAGCAGCAUUCGAGCUGUUCCCUGAAGGGUGCAAAGAGCUGAACUGAAGAGCAAGAGAAGACCAGCUUUGCAGGUCUGCUGGGAAAACAGGAAGUGUCACCAAAGCAUAGGAGAGAAGGUGACUGGGGACAGCGAUUUUGGUGAAUGAAGUGAGUGACAUCAUGAAGAGGAACACCAUCCUGCACUAAGAAAUUCGAUGAACAUAUACUCUACAGUAUUGGAGGAGGAUUCCAACUAGAUGGUGAUUCAUGAAGCUCAAUGUGGAUUAAACUUCAAGAGAGAGCUGAA